rnacentral:rRNA from 1 species
AGUGAACGCUGGCGGUAGGCCUAACACAUGCAAGUCGAACGGCAGCACAGUAAGAGCUUGCUCUUACGGGUGGCGAGUGGCGGACGGGUGAGGAAUACAUCGGAAUCUACUUUUUCGUGGGGGAUAACGUAGGGAAACUUACGCUAAUACCGCAUACGACCUACGGGUGAAAGCAGGGGAUCUUCGGACCUUGCGCGAUUGAAUGAGCCGAUGUCGGAUUAGCUAGUUGGCGGGGUAAAGGCCCACCAAGGCGACGAUCCGUAGCUGGUCUGAGAGGAUGAUCAGCGACACUGGGACUGAGACACGGUCCAGACUCCUACGGGAGGCAGCAGUGGGGAAUAUUGGACAAUGGGCGCAAGCCUGAUCCAGCCAUACCGCGUGGGUGAAGAAGGCCUUCGGGUUGUAAAGCCCUUUUGUUGGGAAAGAAAAGCAGCAGGUUAAUACCCCGCUGUUCUGACGGUACCCAAAGAAUAAGCACCGGCUAACUUCGUG